rnacentral:sRNA from 1 species
GAGGUACUCCUUAAGGGUUGAAUGACUC